rnacentral:rRNA from 1 species
UAACACAUGCAAGUCGAACGGGCGUAGCAAUACGUCAGCGGCAGACGGGUGAGUAACGCGUGGGAACGUACCUUUUGGUUCGGAACAACACAGGGAAACUUGUGCUAAUACCGGAUAAGCCCUUACGGGGAAAGAUUUAUCGCAAACACGCGCUUAACAGGGGUGUUCCCCGCAACUAAAUUGUGGCUGAUAUCCCAUUGGAGCCCCCCCGGCCGGCGAUCUCGUCUCGGGGAAACCGCAAUCUCGAGGAGAUGGAAAUGAAUGGGGAACUGUCACCUCGAAGAGGGGGGAACCCCUGAUCCAGCCUUCCGCGUGAGUGAUGAAGGCCCUAGGGUUGUAAAGCUCUUUUGUGCGGGAAGAUAAUGACGGUACCGCAAGAAUAAGCCCCGGCUAACUUCGUGCCAGCAGCCGCGGUAAUACGAAGGGGGCUAGCGUUGCUCGGAAUCACUGGGCGUAAAGGGUGCGUAGGCGGGUCUUUAAGUCAGGGGUGAAAUCCUGGAGCUCAACUCCAGAACUGCCUUUGAUACUGAAGAUCUUGAGUCCGGGAGAGGUGAGUGGAACUGCGAGUGUAGAGGUGAAAUUCGUAGAUAUUCGCAGAACCACCAGUGGCGAAGGCGGCUCACUGGGCCCGGUACUGACGCUGAGGCACGAAAGCGGUGGGGGAGCAAAACAGGAUUAGGAUACCCUGGUAGUCCACCGCCGUAAACGAUGAAUGCCAGCCGUAGUGGUUUACUCCCCUAUUGGCGCGCCUAACGCCUUAAGCAUCCGCCUGGGGAUACCGUCCGCCAGAUUAAACUCAAAGAAUGGACCGGGCCGCCCAAGCGGGAACCAUUGUGGUUAUUGCAGCCACACGCGAACUUACGACUGACAUGUCAGACGGUCGGAAGACGUUACUCUCUCUGAACUG